GAUGAACGCUGGCGGCGUGCCUAAUACAUGCAAGUCGAGCGAACAGACGAGGAGCUUGCUCCUCUGACGUUAGCGGCGGACGGGUGAGUAACACGUGGAUAACCUACCUAUAAGACUGGGAUAACUUCGGGAAACCGGAGCUAAUACCGGAUAAUAUAUUGAACCGCAUGGUUCAAUAGUGAAAUACGGUUUUGCUGUCACUUAUAGCUGGAUCCGCGCCGCAUUAGCUAGUUGGUAAGGUAACGGCUUACCAAGGCGACGAUGCGUAGCCGAACUGAGAGGGUGAUCGGCCACACUGGAACUGAGACACGGUCCAGACUCCUACGGGAGGCAGCAGUAGGGAAUCUUCCGCAAUGGGCGAAAGCCUGACGGAGCAACGCCGCGUGAGUGAUGAAGGUCUUCGGAUCGUAAAACUCUGUUAUUAGGGAAGAACAAAUGUGUAAGUAACUAUGCACGUCUUGACGGUACCUAAUCAGAAAGCCACGGCUAACUACGUG
rnacentral:rRNA from 1 species